rnacentral:tRNA from 1 species
UCCUCGGUGGCUCAGAUGGAUAGAGCGUCUGCCAUGUAAGCAGAAGAUCCCGGGUUCGAGCCCUGGUCGGGGCA